rnacentral:rRNA from 1 species
GACGAACGCUGGCGGCGUGCCUAAUACAUGCAAGUUGAGCGCUGAAGGUUGGUACUUGUACCAACUGGAUGAGCAGCAAACGGGUGAGUAACGCGUGGGGAAUCUGCCUUUGAGCGGGGGACAACAUUUGGAAACGAAUGCUAAUACCGCAUAAAAACUUUAAACACAAGUUUUAAGUUUGAAAGAUGCAAUUGCAUCACUCAAAGAUGAUCCCGCGUUGUAUUAGCUAGUUGGUGAGGUAAAGGCUCACCAAGGCGAUGAUACAUAGCCGACCUGAGAGGGUGAUCGGCCACAUUGGGACUGAGACACGGCCCAAACUCCUACGGGAGGCAGCAGUAGGGAAUCUUCGGCAAUGGACGAAGGUCUGACCGAGCAACGCCGCGUGAGUGAAGAAGGUUGUCGGAUCGUAAAACUCUGUUGGUAGAGAAGAACGUUGGUGAGAGUGGAAAGCUCAUCAAGUGACGGUAACUACCCAGAAAGGGACGGCUAACUACGUG